GUGGGGAAUAUUGGACAAUGGGCGAAAGCCUGAUCCAGCCAUGCCGCGUGUGUGAAGAAGGUCUUCGGAUUGUAAAGCACUUUAAGUUGGGAGGAAGGGUAGUAACCUAAUACGUUGCUACUUUGACGUUACCGACAGAAUAAGUACCGGCUAACUUCGUGCCAGCAGCCGCGGUAAUACGAAGGGUGCAAGCGUUAAUCGGAAUUACUGGGCGUAAAGAGCGCGGAGGUGGUUCAGUGAGGUGGAAUUUCCUGUGUGGCGAUGAGAUGCUUAGAUAUAGGAAGGAACACCGGUGGGGAAGGCGACCACCUGGACUGAUACUGACACUUAGGUGCGAAAGCGUGGGGAGCAAACGGGAUUAGAAACCCUAGUAGUCC
rnacentral:rRNA from 1 species